UUGAUUCCUGGACUCAUGAAUCCUGGACAUGGAAGAAACAGCACCAUAAAUUGGAUGCUGAUUCAGAGCAUAUACAGCCUUCUGCAGAACUUUGCCCCAGCCCUGAAAUAUGUUGCCAACUAGCUAGUGCUGUAACUGAAGCUCCAAAAGGCCAUUCCACUGUACUAUCAAACCAGCUGCUUCAGGAUGGUGAAGAACAUGGUCAAGUAAAAAUUGAGUGGGCUUCCUAUCUAUUUCACUUCGAGAAACACCAGGAUUAACUAGCCAACACCAUAGGUCUGCAUGAGUCAGAUUAUUCUGAUUGCUGCAUUGAAUCUGCUGUCCGGACGGGACACAGAAGGAAUUGAAUAAAGUCAUGGAAAAUGAAACUCAGGUUGGUCUUCUCACUGGCUUCUUAAAGGAAUGAGCACAUUGUGAUCCUGCUCUGUAUCGUGGAGAAAGACCCAAGGAUGAUGAGAAGUUCUGCUUUUGGAAUAGCGGCAUCAACAGCUACAUGGACCUGCUUCUGGGAAAAACAAGUGUAACUGG
rnacentral:lncRNA from 1 species